rnacentral:lncRNA from 1 species
UGGGCAAGCAGGGUUCCGCGGGAGAAUCGGGCAGGACAGGUGUGCAAGGAGUAGGCUUCGGCUAGGACAAACCGGACAAUAGUUGGCAAAAGCACGUGACAACCUCCGUGGAAGCAUAGAUACAACCUCACAGGCGUGGAGGGGGGGAAUACUGGUGAGAGAGGAUCGUACAUCCAGGGACAUCACCAGAAAUCCGCAUCCCAGAACGCACAGAGGGGGGGCAUACUGAUNNNNNNNNNNNNNNNNNNNNNNNNNNNNNNNNNNNNNNNNNNNNNNNNNNNNNNNNNNNNNNNNNNNNNNNNNNNNNNNNNNNNNNNNNNNNNNNNNNNNACUGGUGAUACAGUAUCCCGAACACGGUCACAGCCUACCAGCAACUAGAAGUCCGGAUAGCCGAAGAUGAGUUGAGGUAUCUAUUCUAGGGUUAUGGAGGUCCCAGGUCGAAUCCUAGGAAGACCGACUUUCCUGAGGAUCGACUUCCCUGGGAUCGACUUUUGAGUAAAGUCGAUCACCAGGAAAAGUCGACCCCCAGAAAGUCGAUCUCUGGAAAGUCGACCCCUGGACCCAAUCUGAUCAGUUAGGCAGUUAGGCGGUUACUGCCCAAAUGACCAGAUUGACCCCAUAAGAACCCCUAUAAAUAGAGGGCACCCCCCACUCAUCAAAGGCAGGUCAUUUGGAGAAGAAGGAUUCCUAGCGAAGCAGAGCUCUGCACACUUGAGUUCCGGUCCGGUUUCCCGCGGAGUUCCCCGCUUGGCGCUUGCUUGCGCGUCUUGGAGUACUGGUCGGGUUUCACCCCCAUCAUAGAGUAUUAAAUGUCGUACAAAACCUCAAUUAAUUCUAAAUAUCAUUUAUCAAGGUAGAUCGAACAGUAUGAUAUGUUAUUUCUACUCUUUAUAUUUUAUCAAUGGAAUUAAAAUUGAAUAUUUAAUCAAUUUGUUCAAUAUUUAUAGUUAACUCAAACAAUUACUUCAAUAAAUUCAUUUAUUACCAUCUUUUUCAAUUAUAGUGUAUUAAAUGUGGUACAAAACCAAAUUUAUUUUUAAUUAUUAUUUUUCAAGGUAGAUUGACCAAUAUGAUCUUUUUUGUUCUACAAUUUCUUUUUAUAAAUGGAUUUAAAAUUGAUUAUUUAAUCAAUUUGUUCAAUAUCUAUUGUCACUUUAAACAAUUACUUCAAUAAAUUAAUUUAUUGUCUUCUUUUUUAAUUAUAGAGUAUUACAUGAAAACCGCAUUUAAUUCUAAAUAUCAUUUAUCAAUUUAGAUAGAUCAAUAUAAUCUUUUAUUUCUACUCUCUAUUUUUUUUAAAUGGAAUUAAAAUAAAUUAUUUUAUCAAUUUAUUUAAUAUCUAUAGUUAAUUCAAACAAUUACGUAAAUAAAUUAAUUUAUUGUCUUCUUUUUUAAUUAUAAGUAUUACAUGUUGUACAAAACCGCAUUUAAUUAUAAAUAUCAUUUAUCAAGGUAGAUCGAUCAAGAUGAUAUUUUAUUUCUACUAUUUAUAUUUUAAAAAUGUACUUAAAAUUGAUUAUUGAAACAAUUUGUAAAAUAUCUAUAGUUAAUUCAAACAAUAACUUCAAUAAAUUCAUUUAUGGACUUCUUUUUAAGUUGUUGAGUAUUACAUGUUGUAUAAAACAGCAUUUAAUUCUACAUAUCAUUUAUGAAGUUAGUUCGAUCAAUAUGAUCUUUUAUUUUCUAAUCUUUAUAUUUUAUAAAUGUAUUUAAAAUUUAUUAUUGAAUCAAUUUGUCAAAUAACUAUAUUUAAUUCAAACAAUUACUUCAAUAAAUUCAUUUAUUGUCUUCUUUUUUAAUUAUAGAGUAUUAAAUGUCGUACAAAACCUCAAAUAAUUCUAAUUAUCAUUUAUCAAGGUAGAUCGAACAGUAUGAUCUGUUAUUUCAACUCUUUAUAUUUUAUAAAUGGAAUUAAAAUUGAAUAUUUAAUUAAUUUGUUCAAUAUUUAUUGUUAACUCAAACAAUUACUUCAAUAAAUUCAUUUAUUACCAUCUUUUUCAAUUAUAGUGUAUUAAAUGUGGUACAAAACCAAAUUUAUUUUUAAUUAUUAUUUUUCAAGGUAGAUUGACCAAUAUGAUCUUUUUUGUUCUACAAUUUCUUUUUAUAAAUGGAUUUAAAAUUGAUUAUUUAAUCAAUUUGUUCAAUAUCUAUUGUCAAUUUAAACAAUUACUUCAAUAAAUUAAUUUAUUGUCUUCUUUAUUAAUUAUAGAGUAUUACAUGAAAACCGCAUUUAAUUCUAAAUAUCAUUUAUCAAUUUAGAUAGAUCAAUAUAAUAUUUUAUUUCUACUCUCUAUAUUUUAUAAAUGGAAUUAAAAUUGAUUAUUUAAUCAAUUUGUUCAAUAUCUAUAGUUAAUUCUUACAAUUAUUUCAAUAAAUUCAUUUAUUGCCUUCUUUUAUAAUUAUAGAGUAUUAAAUGUGGUACGAAACCUCAAUUAAUUCUAAAUAUCAUUUUUCAAGGUCGAUUAAUCAUUAUGAUCUUUUAUUUCUACAAUUUCUAUUUAUAAAUGGAUUUAAAAUUGAUUAUUUAAUCAAUUUGUUCAAUAUCUAUAGUUAAUUCUUACAAUUAUUACAAUAAAUUCAUUUAUUGGCUUCUUUUUAAAUUGUUGAGUAUUAAAUGUUGUACAAAACCGCAUUUAAUUCUAAAUAUCAUUUAUCAAGGUAGAUCGAUCAAUAUAAUCUUUUAUUUCUACUCUCUAUAUUUUAUAAAUGGAAUUAAAAUUGAUUAUUAAAUCAAUUUGUUAAAUAUCAAUAGUUAAUUCAAACAAUUACUUCAAUAAAUUCAUUUAUGCCCUUCUUUUUUAUUUAUAGACUAUUAAAUGUGGUACAAAAUCGAAUUAAAUUCUAAAUAUCAUUUAUCAAGGUAGAUCGAUCAUUAUGAUCUGUUAUUUCUACUCUUUUUAGUUUAUAAAUGGAAUUAAAAUUGAUUAUUUAAUCAAUUUGUUCAUUAUUGGUGAGAGAGGAUAUUACAUCCAGGGACAUCACCAGAAAUCCACAUCCCAGCACGCAAAGAGGGGGG